GGGGGCGAACAGGGUUCGACGUUUCUACUGGACUCCGAAGCGCAUGCCAAGAUUGUGGUAAUUCUUGUAAAACAUACUACAAAAAAUUUAGUUGCAAAUAACGACAACUACGCUUUAGCAGCUUAAUGCUAACCGAUACCAGAAUUGACUAUGGUUUGAAGUAUCGGCAAAUAUCAUAGUCUAGCCAAGCUG
rnacentral:tmRNA from 1 species